rnacentral:rRNA from 1 species
UACGGGGGGGCAAGCGUUGUUCGGAAUUACUGGGCGUAAAGGGCUCGUAGGCGGCCCUCUCAGUCGGAUGUGAAAUCCCCAGGCUUAACCUGGGAACGGCAUCCGAUACUGGAGGGCUUGAAUUCGGGAGAGGGAUGCAGAAUUCCAGGUGUAGCAGUGAAAUGCGUAGAUAUCGUGAGGAAGACCAGUGGCGAAGGCGGAUCUCUGGACAGUUCCUGACGCUUGAGGCACGAAGGCCAGGGGAGCAAACGGGG